GCCGCCCUACGGGACGCAGCAGUGGGGAAUAUUGCACAAUGGGGGGAACCCUGAUGCAGCGACGCCGCGUGAGCGAUGAAGUAUUUCGGUAUAUAAAGCUCUAUCAGCAGGGAAGAAAAUGACGGUACCUGACUAAGAAGCCCCGGCUAACUACGUGCCAGCAGCCGCGGUAAUACGUAGGGGGCAAGCGUUAUCCGGAUUUACUGGGUGUAAAGGGAGCGUAGACGGAGGAGCAAGUCUGAUGUGAAAAUCCGGGGCCCAACCCCGGAACUGCAUUGGAAACUGUUUAUCUAGAGUGUCGGAGG
rnacentral:rRNA from 1 species